rnacentral:rRNA from 1 species
UUGAUCCUGGCUCAGAAUCAACGCUGGCGGCGCGCUUAACACAUGCAAGUCGAACGAGAAAGCCCGCAAGGGUGAGUAAAGUGGCGUACGGGUGAGUAAUACGUGGGUAAUCUACCUUUUGGUGGGGAAUAACGCUGGGAAACCGGCGCUAAUACCGCAUAAGCUCGAAAGAGGAAAGGAGCAAUUCGCCGAAAGAGGAUCCCGCGGCUGAUUAGCUAGUUGGUGAGGUAAAGGCUCACCAAGGCAAUGUUCGGUAGCCGGCCUGAGAGGGCACACGGCCACACUGGCACUGAAACACGUGCCAGACUCCUACGGGAGGCAGCAGUGGGGAAUCUUGCACAAUGGGGGCUACCCUGAUGCAGCGACGCCGCGUGAGUGAUGAAGCCCUUCGGGGUGUAAUGCUCUUUCGGCAGGGACGAUAAUGACGGUACCUGAAGAAGAAGCUGCGGUUAACUACGUGCCAGCAGCCGCGGUAU